ensembl:lncRNA
AUGAACCCUUUAAAAAUGGACUUUUCAAAGAUGCCAUACUUUUAUAAAAACCUGUUUAAAGUGUGGAGUUUGUUUCAGAUUCAAAAGACUGAAAGCUCAUACUCUCUUCAUUGGCUGUUAGAGGAACCUUUGAUAUUUGGAGCACGACUGGAUAUAACGAACAAUUGUAAUUUAAAUGGGCUCAGUUCUGCUCUCCAAAAAUCCAGGGCUGUCACUUUAGGACAGAUGUUGAUUUUGGCUGGCCCAAAUUUGGAGAACGCAGAGAUGGCAUCUCAACUUUUGGGUAUUAGAUCUGUUCGUCUUGUUUCCUUGUUUUUGUUUAAACUGAGAUCAGCUCUCACAGAUGAAGAGAACCAAAUGUUAAAAGAUUACAACUCUGGGACAUGCACUCCCAAUGCUCAGGACCUUAUUCCCUGUCUAGAGAUUUUACCUAAUCUUGAUGGAUGUACAGGUUUGGUUUUAAAGAAUUGGCAAUCUUUGUGGUUGGAUUUAUUGUCGACUAAAGGUAAUUUGUUGUACAGAGCUUGUGUUAUGGCUUUUAAUAAGACAUAUUUUGAAAGAAAAGUUGAUACAUCAUGGCGCUCUUUUUUUGGGCUAGAUGAAAAUGUAAUACCUGAGUGGAGAUCUCUGUAUAAGCCGUCAUUAUCAAAGAGGACAGGGGAUUUACAGUGGAGAAUCCUUCAUGGUAUCAUUGCUGUAAACUCUUUUAUUUCUGUUUUAAAUCCAGAAGUUAGUUCGGAAUGUCCCUUUUGUUUUCAAAGGGAAACAGUUUUUCAUGCUUUUAUGCAAUGUUCUAGAUUACAACUGUUAUUUACGUUAUUAAAAGAAAUAUUUAACGGUUGUAAAGAGAUUUUUUCUGAAAAAACUUUUAUUCUGGGUUUUAAAUGUAGUCGGAACAAGAGGUAUACCUGUCAAUUUUUGAAUUUUGUUUUGGGACAAGCAAAAUUGGCAAUAUAUACCCGUAGGAAAAGGAAAAUAGAGCAAAAACCUUGCCAAAGCAUCACUGAGUUUUUUUUUAAUGUUGGUGAAAUCAAGAGUGGUGACUGA